AGCGACCCAAUGGCAGUAGUUUAUGCAAAGAAAAGUGACGAGAAUCUUGAGGAAAUUGGCCGUACAUAAGUUAUAAUGAACUCGCUAGAUCCUGCUUGGAUAACAAAGAUUUUCGUUGCUUAUCAGUUUGAGAUGGUUCAACCGUUGGUGUUUCGAGUGUAUGAUCUCGACACCAAAUACCAUAACAUUCCCCCGAAGACUCUGAAAUUGGAUGGGCACGAUUUCCUAGGAGAUGCUUCUUGUGCUUUGUCGGAGG